AAAGUAUUUGUUAGACGAAUAACCUGGAAAGGUUAAUCAGAGAAGGUAAUAAUCCUGUAGUCGAAAACGAAUACCCUCUUGAGUGGAUCCUGAGUACGACGGAGCACGUGAAAUUCCGUCGGAAUCUGGGAGGACCAUCUCCUAAGGCUAAAUACUCUCUAGUGACCGAUAGUGAACCAGUACCGUGAGGGAAAGGUGAAAAGUACCCCGGAAGGGGAGUGAAAGAGAACUUGAAACCGUGUGCUUACAAGUAGU
rnacentral:rRNA from 1 species